AUCGAUAAAUGACCAAUUAAAAAAAAAAGCUAUACAGAAUGAAAUAAUUAAGAUCCUUUUAAAAGAGUACUUUGUCAGUAAAACUAAAAAAAAAAUUAUUACAGAAAUGUAGGUAGAAAAAUUAAAAGUAAUAAUUAAAUAAAAUUAAAAAGUAAAUACUUUAUAUUAUUCUCAAUUUCGUGUAUAAUAUAAUACAUUUUAUAUAUGUCGGAGUGCAUAUGACAGCGACUAUAAACAUUGCUGCAAUCGAUGCCACACGAUCGUAAAUAUAAUAAGGAAGCAGAUAAUCUUAUGAAGGUGCGCAUUUUGCUACAAAAUUUGACAAAUGGCCGUGCGGUCCCGGCAUAGAAUAAGCCACCCCUUCAUUUACCAUGAUUGUUGUAAGAGGCGGCUAAGACAUGGCGAGGGAUGGGCAGGAGCGUCUCACUUAUCUCAAGGCUCCACAUCUCCAAAGGCUAACUGCGGUUGCCAAUCUGUCUGCCAAGCGUGUCAAUUUUCUUUUACAACACAGGGGCAAAUGAGCAUGCGGCUCACUUGAUGUUGUAACACCGAGCCAAUAAUCCGAGUUAGUGUUGCGACGGCUUCAGACUUCGGGCGAGCUAUCUCAGUGACGUCAGUUGGUCAACCGAAUCUCAUCCCGCGUUGGGAUUACGCUGAAUUUACUAUCAUUCCACGGCAGUUAGUAAAUGACGCGAAUAAAGCUCUCUGUGGCGCUAUAAAAUAAAGUAUGUUUCAAAAUAUAUAAGGGAAUUAAUGAAUUUAAAAUUUAAUAUUGUUAAUUAUUAUUAAAAAAAAUUAAUUUUCAAGGGGCGUGUAACGGAACGAAACGUAUCGUGUGAAAGGGACAAACGAUAGACGUUUAGUAACGAGUGAAAGAGUUCGAAAGACCACGGUCUAUCACUUACAAAUAGGUUUAUAUCGGGGGAAAGGGAUUGUUAGCAAUGGAGUUUGAAAGCCCCAUUGCUAGCAAUAUGCCUUAUUAGGUCGACCUUCACGUGGUUCCCCCUGGAAACCAUCGUGAAUAAUUCUCGUUGAAUUCGUCACGAUGGACUAACUGACCUACUUCAUCCUCACCUAACAUCCUUCACUGGUGCCCCGCCGGUGUAUACCGAUAGCGCGGGUGGGGUUACCAUUCCAUUAACAUCCAUUAAAAAAAAAAUAGGUUUAUAUCUAAUCUGUAUAUACAGCAUAUAUUAUCUAAGAAUAUCGAGAAUUGGAUAAUGAAUAU